AUACGGAGGAUCCGAGCGUUAUCCGGAUUUAUUGGGUUUAAAGGGUGCGUAGGUGGUUUGAUAAGUCAGCGGUGAAAGUUUGCAGCUUAACUGUAAAAGUGCCUUCGAAACUGGUUUCUUGAGUGUAGAUGAAGUAGGCGGAAUUUGUGGUGCAGCGGUGAAAUGCUUAGAUAUCACAAAGAACUCCGAUUGCGCAGGCAGCUUACUAAGCUACAACUGACACUGAAGCACGAAAGCGUGGGGAUC
rnacentral:rRNA from 1 species